UAUACAUGCAGUCGAGCGGACAGAUGGGAGCUUGCUCCCUGAUGUUAGCGGCGGACGGGUGAGUAACACGUGGGUAACCUGCCUGUAAGACUGGGAUAACUCCGGGAAACCGGGGCUAAUACCGGAUGGUUGUCUGAACCGCAUGGUUCAGACAUAAAAGGUGGCUUCGGCUACCACUUACAGAUGGACCCGCGGCGCAUUAGCUAGUUGGUGAGGUAACGGCUCACCAAGGCGACGAUGCGUAGCCGACCUGAGAGGGUGAUCGGCCACACUGGGACUGAGACACGGCCCAGACUCCUACGGGAGGCAGCAGUAGGGAAUCUUCCGCAAUGGACGAAAGUCUGACGGAGCAACGCCGCGUGAGUGAUGAAGGUUUUCGGAUCGUAAAGCUCUGUUGUUAGGGAAGAACAAGUGCCGUUCAAAUAGGGCGGCACCUUGACGGUACCUAACCAGAAAGCCACGGCUAACUACGUGCCAGCAGCCGCGGUAAUACGUAGGUGGCAAGCGUUGUCCGGAAUUAUUGGGCGUAAAGGGCUCGCAGGCGGUUUCUUAAGUCUGAUGUGAAAGCCCCCGGCUCAACCGGGGAGGGUCAUUGGAAACUGGGGAACUUGAGUGCAGAAGAGGAGAGUGGAAUUCCACGUGUAGCGGUGAAAUGCGUAGAGAUGUGGAGGAACACCAGUGGCGAAGGCGACUCUCUGGUCUGUAACUGACGCUGAGGAGCGAAAGCGUGGGGAGCGAACAGGAUUAGAUACCCUGGUAGUCCACGCCGUAAACGAUGAGUGCUAAGUGUUAGGGGGUUUCCGCCCCUUAGUGCUGCAGCUAACGCAUUAAGCACUCCGCCUGGGGAGUACGGUCGCAAGACUGAAACUCAAAGGAAUUGACGGGGGCCCGCACAAGCGGUGGAGCAUGUGGUUUAAUUCGAAGCAACGCGAAGAACCUUACCAGGUCUUGACAUCCUCUGACAAUCCUAGAGAUAGGACGUCCCCUUCGGGGGCAGAGUGACAGGUGGUGCAUGGUUGUCGUCAGCUCGUGUCGUGAGAUGUUGGGUUAAGUCCCGCAACGAGCGCAACC
rnacentral:rRNA from 1 species